UAAGGAAUAUUGGUCAAUGGACGCAAGUCUGAACCAGCCAUGCCGCGUGAAGGAUGAAGGUCCUCUGGAUUGUAAACUUCUUUUGUAGGGGAAGAAACCCUGGUAUUCCUACCAGGUUGACGGUACCCUAGGAAUAAGCACCGGCUAACUCCGUGCCAGCAGCCGCGGUAAUACGGAGGGUGCAAGCGUUAUCCGGAUUCACUGGGUUUAAAGGGUGCGUAGGAGGAUAGGUAAGUCAGUGGUGAAAUCUCCGGGCUUAACUCGGAAACUGCCGUUGAUACUAUUUAUCUUGAAUUCUGUGGAGGUGAGCGGAAUAUGUCAUGUAGCGGUGAAAUGCUUAGAUAUGACAUAGAACACCAAUUGCGAAGGCAGCUCACUACACAGCGAUUGACUCUGAGGCACGAAAGCGUGGGGAUCAAACA
rnacentral:rRNA from 1 species